ensembl:lncRNA
CAAAGCUUCAUUCAAAUUUAUUGUUCUAACAAUCAUGUAUUUACAGAUGGUGAACCCCACAUCCUACUGCCAUCUUAACACAACUGUGCUUCACAAUCUCACUCUUCUCAGUGGGGACAUUGUUGAGCAGGAGGAUGAGGAAGACCAUGAUGACAGCUCUCUGAACCACACAAUCUUGAAGCAAGAGCAGGGGAACAUGUGCGGGACAAUCUGGCUACCACUGUGUCUGCUUCAAACAUUUGUGUGCCUGCUCUACACAAGCACCACUACCUGUAAAACAUUUAAACGGAGAUGUUCUCGCUGGCACUGAGGAUGAAAAGACCACAGCAACAUCCGGUCCAGGUGUGGCAUUAAGAGGUGGAGUGAUGGAGCAUCUCAUCCAUGGCACUGGACCAUUUCCAGGAUGCUGCUGUGGACUCCUCCAUCCUCACACAGCAGUCUGCAAACAUUUCAGAUCAUACAAAAACACCCAAAUAUAAUACAAAACAGCAUUUUAACAGCAUAUUGUCAUCUGAUCUCUGUAUUAGAAGUAACAAAAUUAUCUUACUUCAUCCUUUAGUUUCAGGUUUCUCUUUUUUCCACAAAUGCCGCCGUCACUUUGCCUUGCAAGUCCUGCUCCAACACAAAAGAUCUGCAGCAAAUGCACUGAAAUCAAGAAUAAGAAAAGUGCUGUAAUAGUUGUUUGAAAUUAUAAUAAUUAGAAAAAACUACAACUUAAGAUUUAAAAGAUGUUUUAUUGAUGUCUGUAGUGUACUCACUGAAAGCCUUUGAUGGCAGCAUUCCUUCAUCAGUCACUCUGCACCGGAUAAACACAUGUGUGUCUCAUCUGUUCCUGUAACAUCCAGACAAGAGUCAGUGACCUCUGUGAUUUAUUUGCUCAAUACUGUAUUUACAUGUUGAGUUAGUUGCUGAUGUAACUCACUUUUUAUCCAACACAAAUGUUCCUUAAAUUAUCAAUAUUACAAAUGGACAAAUAAAGUAUCUAACUUAUGUUUACUUACUUUAUGGAGAUUUGAUUAUUUACAUUACUUACAUUCAUCUAAAGCAGUGUUGACAACAGUAAAUUCUACAUAAUAGCACACAUACUGUACAUCACUCACUCAGUCUCAUGUCUAUUAGAUGUGCUCAUCUGCAAUACUUAUCAAAGAUUAUCCUGUCAGAUGUUACAUAGACUUUUAGUAAUCGUCUUUAAGAUGUAUAUACGGUUUAUGUAAAUCCACUUUUGAGAUGUAUGUGUACUUAAUGGAGCUCCCCUUUUAUUUAUGCAUUGCAAAACAUAUUUUUACAGCAAAAUCACAAAUAUGCUAUAUUAUGUAGGUCACAGAUAAGGUUUAGAUUAAGCCAGGAUUAGGCCGUAGUUCAAUUAGGACAUUUAAGUAGCUUUUAUAAGCAUUCCUUGGAUAAAAACACUACUGAUAUGCAUCUUGAGACACUAUAUAUAUAUAUAUAUAUAUAUAUAUAUAUAUAUAUAU